UGAGAAUGUGAGUUAAACCUCAAAACUCAAAACUAAGCCUCUAAUCCACAUCUGGGCUUGAACCAUCAACCUAUAGGUGCAGGCAUAGGUUUGAGACAGCAGCUCUUCAGCUGUGCUACCUCGCCACUCACUAAACAAGUCUUCGUUUCUCGUAUCAAAGACUUCAUUUCUUGUAUUUGACCUCGAGUUUACGAGCUAAACCGCAAAAGUCUUUCAAGGAACGUCCCCUUGAAGCGGCUUGAACCAACAACCUCAGACAGCAGGUUGGAGCCUGCAGCCCUUCGGUUGUUCCCUUGUGCUAUUCAGCCACAUGCUUCAUAAUGUCUCUCAUUUCUCCUAUUAGACCUUGGGAUUGCUGACUGAAACCUCAAAAGCACUUCAAGCUUGAUCCUGUGACUGCACCCAAACCCUCCUUCUGGGAGAGCAGGUUUGAACCGUGGACCAUCCACACCUCAACCUUCCUGCUAUCUCCCUGCACUGUUCCGCUGCACACCCGUGCCGCUGGACUUUGUCAAGUCAAUGAGACGAACCUCAAUACUCUCAUAGACUCACAGGCUGGAAGCCACAUCCGUUCUGUACCGUUAUAAUACAAUUGCAGGUCAAGUAAAGUCAUAAUAUGGCUAAUAAGGUCAUAGUUGAUUUCACUACUUCUAUGACUGUUGUUUAUUUCACAAGUUGUAUGCGUUGUAGGAGGAUCCUCUGAGGUUCCUCCUCAGCAGAGUGAAGAACAAAUGCCAGAAGAAAUGAGCAGGUUUGUCCUUCAGGGAUUAGCUCACCCAGAUGAGGAGCUGAUGGGAACCAACACACGGCACCCUGAGGAGAAAGGAUCGAAGCCCAAAUGUGGCUCAGGAGGUCGCAGAGCUGCAUGAAGGCGGUGUUAACAAAUAGCUCAGUCAGAAGAAGUCAAAAGGCAACAAAGAGGAAUGUUAUAGGGGGAAUGACAUGGUGGUGGUGUCCACCCGGGUUCGAAUCCCACCACAGCGAGGACAUCAGUGUGCAUCGCCGCGGUACAGUAGAGACGUCCGGGCUUUCCCCACUGUCAAAGUUACAUCUCAGAGUAACUGCAGAGCAGAAGAAGAAACCUGUCGUCCUCAGCGCUGGAAACUGCGCCCUCGUGUGGAGAGAAAAGAAGCGAAACAAAGGACAUUAGUACAUUUUAUGGAAAACAAUAUUAUGACUGAUCAUGUAAAUCAUGUUAGGGGGUGGCAUGGUGGUUAGUCACCUCACAUCAGGAAGGUCCUGGGUUGGACUCCGCCCAGUGGCCUGUCUGUGUGGAGUCUGCGUGGGUUCUCUCUGAGUACUCUGGCUUCCUCCCACAGUCCAAAGAUGUGCCCUGGGGAUCAGGUUGGGAUCAAUUGGUGAUGCUAAAUUGUGUGAAUGGUUG
ensembl:lncRNA